GGUGGUAUGGCUCAAGUGAUAGAGCACCAGCCUAACGAGCUCGAGGCCCUGAAUUCAAACCUUAGUACUACAA
rnacentral:tRNA from 1 species